GUGAGGAAUCUUGCGCAAUGGGGGAAACCCUGACGCAGCAACGCCGCGUGAGUGAGGAAGGUCUUCGGAUCGUAAAGCUCUGUCAGAUGGAAAGAACCGCAUGGGGGUGAAUAAUCCCUAUGUCUGACGGUACCAUCAGAGGAAGCACCGGCUAACUCCGUGCCAGCAGCCGCGGUAAUACGGGGGGUGCAAGCGUUGUUCGGAAUUAUUGGGCGUAAAGAGCGUGUAGGCGGCCGGAUGUGUCAGAUGUGAAAGCCCUGGGCUUAACCCAGGAAGUGCAUUUGAAACUGUCCGGCUUGAGUAGGGGAGAGGGAAGUGGAAUUCCUGGUGUAGAGGUGAAAUUCGUAGAUAUCAGGAGGAACACCGGUGGCGAAGGCGACUUCCUGGCCCUAUACUGACGCUGAGACGCGAAAGCGUGGGUAGCAAACAGGAUUAGAAACCCGUGUAGUCC
rnacentral:rRNA from 1 species